CCUACGGGUGGCAGCAGUGAGGAAUAUUGGACAAUGGGUGAGAGCCUGAACCAGCCAAGUCGCGUGAAGGAUGACGGCCCUACGGGUUUUAAACUUCUUUUGUCAGGGGGCAAUUGGUUCCACGCGUGCGCUUAGCGAGAGUACCUGAAGACAAAGCAUCGCCUAACUCCGUGCCAGCCGCCGCGGUAAUACGUAGGAUGCGAGCGUUAUCCGGAUUUAUUGGGUUAAAAGGCUGCGUAGGCGGACUAUCAGGUCAGCGGUAAAAAUUCGGGGCUCAACCCCGUCGUGCCGUUGAUACUGAUGAUCUUGAGUCGGCGAGAAGUAUGCGGAAUGCGUGGUGUAGCGGUGAAAUGCAUAGAUAUCACGCAGAACUCCGAUUGCGAAGGCAGCAUACCGG
rnacentral:rRNA from 1 species